AACGCUGGCGGCGUGCCUAAUACAUGCAAGUCGAGCGAACAGACGAGGAGCUUGCUCCUCUGACGUUAGCGGCGGACGGGUGAGUAACACGUGGAUAACCUACCUAUAAGACUGGGAUAACUUCGGGAAACCGGAGCUAAUACCGGAUAAUAUAUUGAACCGCAUGGUUCAAUAGUGAAAGACGGUUUUGCUGUCACUUAUAGAUGGAUCCGCGCCGCAUUAGCUAGUUGGUAAGGUAACGGCUUACCAAGGCAACGAUGCGUAGCCGACCUGAGAGGGUGAUCGGCCACACUGGAACUGAGACACGGUCCAGACUCCUACGGGAGGCAGCAGUAGGGAAUCUUCCGCAAUGGGCGAAAGCUUGACGGAGCAACGCCGCGUGAGUGAUGAAGGUCUUCGGAUCGUAAAACUCUGUUAUUAGGGAAGAACAAAUGUGUAAGUAACUAUGCACGUCUUGACGGUACCUAAUCGGAAAGCCACGGCUAACUACGUG
rnacentral:rRNA from 1 species